UAGGGAAUCUUCGGCAAUGGGGGGAACCCUGACCGAGCAACGCCGCGUGAGUGAAGAAGGUUUUCGGAUCGUAAAGCUCUGUUGUUAAGGAAGAACGAGUGUGAGAAUGGAAAGUUCAUACUGUGACGGUACUUAACCAGAAAGGGACGGCUAACUACGUGCCAACAGCCGCGGUAAUACGUAGGUCCCGAGCGUUGUCCGGAUUUAUUGGGCGUAAAGCGAGCGCAGGCGGUUAGAAAAGUCUGAAGUGAAAGGCAGUGGCUCAACCAUUGUAGGCUUUGGAAACUGUUUAACUUGAGUGCAGAAGGGGAGAGUGGAAUUCCAUGUGUAGCGGUGAAAUGCGUAGAUAUAUGGAGGAACACCGGUGGCGAAGGCGACUCUCUGGUCUGUAACUGACGCUGAGGCUCGAAAGCGUGGGUAGCAAACAGG
rnacentral:rRNA from 1 species